ACAAAAAAAAAAAAAAAAAAAUCCACGAAAAAACAAGAGAUCAUUCCAUCUGAAGUUAAACCGAGACUGCUCCUCCAUCUCUCGUAAUGGCUCUAGGAGAUUGCUUCUCCAAAAGCAACCUGUUUUGAUCACUAGUGGGGCUGCCUCUCACGGUCACAGGUUCUAAACAUUAAGUCGGAUUUGAGGGCAAAUCCUUUUGAAGGAGGAGGGGAUGAUGUGACCUUGUUCAGCAACAAGCCAAUGUCGUAUAAUAUAUCAAUCUGACGGCAAUUCAGAGACCGUCGAUCAUGCAAAAAGAUACAACCAGCCAAGAAAUUCUGCGAACACAAUUUCCCAAAUUUGGUCAACAGUCUUGGUCUUUGGUCAAGUCAAUAUUCCUAGUCAAGUCUUCAUAGUUUUAAAAGCUUUAUAGUUUCAAGGAUUGACUAGAUUAUUUAAUUCUACAGAUUGCCUAUUAUAUAAAGGCUUGCUUUGUAUUGUUUUAUUUCAUUCAACCCUUUUAAUAAAAAUCUACUUUUUAAAUUUGUUGAAUCCUUUGUUCUUUGGAACAUCGUAAUGCUACGAGAGUGAUCUCCGUAAGCACGGUCUUGUUCACUAGUGGGGCUGCCUCUCACGGACUAAGACCAACCAACAAGUAUUUGGCCUUCCGCAGCCUUAUACUGAAGAACCAUCGAUCCACCUUUCCUUUGAUCCAUCUUUGGGUCAAAGCUUAUCUUUUUCACCAACCUUUGAGUGCAUUUCUUGGGAGAUUUUCUAUUACACCGGC
rnacentral:lncRNA from 1 species